CUUCUCACACCAUGUCUGCCUGACCCCAGGAGUGCCCCCAACUUCUUCUAAACCUUUUAACCAUACAUAACCACCCCUGUCCCUUCCAUUCAGUCUGGCUUUCCUCCUACAGGGCUCCAUGCUGAAAGUGCCACAGGACCCAGGAUAGAGCCUUGUGGGACACUGUCUGGACCUGUUUGAGCACUGUCACGGCUGUUUGCUAGUUCCCUGCAGGCAUGUUGGUGCUUGGAUGAAUGAGAUCCAUAGAGGUUGAGGAGUUUACUCAACCACAGAAGAAAUGCAGCAGGUUCCUGCUUCUUUUGGCAAAAGCAGCUGCACUCUUUUGCUGGCAGUUUAUUAGUUGAAAUGCAGUGCAAUGAGAGAAAGAGAGUAAGAGCAACAGCCCUCUGUUUUAAUAAAACAAAUACUUGCACUCAAAAGUGCCUCAAUACUUUUGUCUCAAUCACUCUGCAUCAAGAUGUGAAAAAUGUUAUCACUUAAACUACGUCUGCCAUUCACAUGUGUAUACUUGGGUAGAUGUGCUGUCUUAAUAGAGCCAAAGUUUGUGGUCAAAUUUUAAAUAAUUACAUUCCAUAGGAAAGAGCCUUACAGUGUCACAUGCACCAUACAUCUGUGAAUAAUAUUUCUGAAAAAUUUGUAUUGAAUAUUGUAAUUGGACUUGGAAUAGCAACAAACAACGAUAAUUGUGUUACAAGUUUGAAUUCCUAACUCUGGAAAUGUAUUGUUUUUUCUCAGUUUGAUCUUUUUUAGUAUAGCAUGUUAUAUAAAUUCAAACCAAUUAUCAAAUGA